GUCCCUCUAACACAAUUUGUGACCUCCAACCCAGCUGAGGAACAUUGGGAGUUUAACAAUGGGCGACUUCUCGGGGAGUGAGUGCACCGAGACUACGACUGAAGAUUACCAAGUACUGGGCCAGGCCUUGGGAAUACCACGCUGAGAGCUGAACUACUAGGAUCUCCAUAGUAAUCGGUGUCACUCCAACAUACAGCGGAAUACCGGCGAUUCAUCACCCAAAUGAGGUCCAGUCGAGGCCGUGAUCCAUCACCCAGUGUCUGCUCUAACAGCGGAGGUAAUGAGAACGGGACCAAUGCAACAUUGAUGGGGCCUGGCUGGCGACGAUGCACGGACAAUGGCGCUGACGGGUGAAAGAGUGACCCUCUCGUCGAGGCGCUUGUUUCAGGUUGUGAUUUAGA